rnacentral:rRNA from 1 species
UGGGGAAUUUUGGACAAUGGGGGAAACCCUGAUCCAGCCAUCCCGCGUGUGCGAUGAAGGCCUUCGGGUUGUAAAGCACUUUUGGCAGGAAAGAAACGUCAUGGGUUAAUACCCCGUGAAACUGACGGUACCUGCAGAAUAAGCACCGGCUAACUACGUGCCAGCAGCCGCGGUAAUACGUAGUGUGCAAGCGUUAAUCGGAAUUACUGGGCGUAAAGCGUGCGCAGGCGGUUCGGAAAGAAAGAUGUGAAAUCCCAGAGCUCAACUUUGGAACUGCAUUUUUAACUGCCGGGCUAGAGUGUGUCAGAGGGAGGUGGAAUUCCGCGUGUAGCAGUGAAAUGCGUAGAUAUGCGGAGGAACACCGAUGGCGAAGGCAGCCUCCUGGGAUAACACUGACGCUCAUGCAGGAAAGCGUGGGGAGCAAACAGG